CGAAUGGGGUGAUUCAUCGUCGACGACGCUGGCUCCCGUUGGUGCGCGAUGCUCCGGAUGGAUCCUCGUGGUCCAUUAGCGAGGGCACGCCAUCUUCGGCUUGAAUGUUCCGGCGACGUAGUCGUGCACUUCUCCCCUAGUAGGACGUCGCGACCCGUUGUGUGUCGGUCUACGGCCCGAGUGGGCGCCUGUCGCGUCGCUUCUUGCGCACGUGGCAGACCCUCGGUCGCCUGGCCGGCUGCACGACGGUACUCGCACGGUAUCGGGCCGCAACCAAUCCAUUCUCGAAUGUGUGUGCGUCGGGCCCGCCGCAAGCUCGGUCAGUAUACCCGGAGGUGCGGACCUAGCGCCGUCCCCGGGCCUGACCAGCUGUUAGCAGGCGGUGUCCUCGGACUGGCCAAGCUUCGAAUUACCGGUCGGCGACGCUAUUGCUUUGGGUACUCUCAGGACCCGUCUUGAAACACGGACCAAGGAGUCUAACAUGUGCGCGAGUCAUUGGGAUGCAUAAACCUAAAGGCGAAAUGAAAGUGAAGGUCGACCUUUGCGUCGACCUAGGGAGGAUGGGCCGCGUUACGAUGCGGCCUCGCACUCACGGGGCGUUUCGUUCUCAUUGCGAGAAGAGGCGCACCUAGAGCGUACACGUUGGGACCCGAAAGAUGGUGAACUAUGCCUGGUCAGGACGAAGUCAGGGGAAACCCUGAUGGAGGUCCGUAGCGAUUCUGACGUGCAAAUCGAUCGUCGGAACUGGGUAUAGGGGCGAAAGACUAAUCGAACCAUCUAGUAGCUGGUUCCCUCCGAAGUUUCCCUCAGGAUAGCUGGCACUCGCUCGUUCCUAUUGAACGCGUGCGAGUCUCAUCUGGUAAAGCGAAUGAUUAGAGGCCUUGGGGCCGAAACGACCUCAACCUAUUCUCAAACUUUAAAUGGGUGAGAUCUCUGGCUUGCUUGGAUUAUGAAGCCACGAGAUUUUGGAUCAGAGUGCCAAGUGGGCCAAUUUUGGUAAGCAGAACUGGCGCUGUGGGAUGAACCAAACGCAGAGUUAAGGCGCCUAAGUCGACGCUUAUGGGAUACCAUGAAAGGCG
rnacentral:rRNA from 1 species